rnacentral:rRNA from 1 species
AGUCAAGUAAUUAAGUGCAUGUGGUGGAUGCCUUGGCAGUCAGAGGCGAUGAAAGACGUGAUAGCCUGCGAAAAGCUUCCGGGGAGGCG